UCACCGCUGGGAGUAGUGGCCCACGCCUUCAAUCCCAGCACUUGGGAGGCAGAGGCAGGGGAUUUUCUGAGUCCGAGGCCAGCCUGGUCUACAAAGUGAAUUCCAGGAUAGCCAGGGCUAUACAGAGAAACCCUGUCUCAAAAAAACAAAAACAAAAACAAAAAACAAAAACAAAGAAACAAACAAACAAAAAAACCUGUCUCAAAAAACAAACAAAGAACAACAACAAAACAACAAAAAGAAAGUAUCAUCAUUGCAGCUUCCACAAUCACAGGUCACUUUCAAACACUGGAACCCAUAGAAGAAGGACUGUUUUGUUGAGCAGAGAUGAAAGUGAAGCAGAGGCCAGCUCCCUGUGGUGCCAACUGCUCUGUGUCAAGUCGCAGUUUUGCUAACAUCACUGACAUGAGGGUGGGCAGAGCAGACUGCUCUUCUGAGGCCUCCUUUGCUGCACUGCCAUCUAAACCAUACAGAGGCUGUUCUACUCCACGCGGUCCACAUCCAUAUGUGUGAAAGUGCAUGAGGAGGACAUGGAAUGAUGCCACAUAUCUUGCUACAAAUUGCUGCAGUGUUGUUGCAUAUAUGCUUUUCUAGUAAGAUCAGAUGACCCUGAGAUUCUACCAUACACCAAUUAGAAUUGCAAAGAUCAAGAACUCAAGUGACAACACAUGGUGACAAGGGUGUGGAGAAAGAGUUACACUCCACUCUUGCUGGUGGGAUUGCAAACUGGUACAACCACUCUGAAAAUCAAUCUGGCAGUACCUCAGAAAAUUGGAAAUAAUUCUACAUGAAGACCCAGAUAUUCCACUACUGGGCAUAUACACAAAAGAAGAUACACAAUAACAUAAGGACACAUGCUCCACUAUGUCCAUAGCUGCCAUAUUUGUAUUAGCUAGAAGCCGGAAACAAUCCAGAUGUUCUUCAACCAAGGAAUGGAUGUAGAAAAAAUGUGGUUCAAUAACACAAUGGAAUACUGCUCAUCUAUUAAAACUGAGGACAUCAUGAAAUUUGCAGGCAAAUGGAGAGAACUAGAAAAUGUCAUCCUGAGUGAGGAACCCAGGCUCGAAAGGACAUACAUGUUAUGUCCUCAUUGAUAAGUAGUUAUUUGGCAAAAAGAUCAGAAUACCAUUAUACACAACUCACAGAUCACAUAAAAUUUAAUUAGAAGGAAUGCCAAAUUGUGGAUUCUUCAACUCCACAUAGAAGGAGAAACAAAAUAAUCCCAGGAGGCAGAAGAAGGGAGGGAUGUGGAUAAAAGAGGGAGAAUCAGGGACAAUCAGUGGCAGGAUCAGGUAUAUGGGGAGACAGGAGAGAAGGCCAGAGGGCCAGGAGUAUUAAUAGAAACAUACAACCGUGUGGGAAUGAAGAGCAGGGUAAAUAUCUAGAAAGUCCCAGACAAGAUGGAUGUGGAAGUCUCCCAAACCUCAUCGGGGAUGACCUUAGCCGAAAUGUCCAAGAGUGGGUAGACAGAACCUAAAUAGAAUAUCUUCAGCAGAGUGCAUGGCCCCCAUUUGAGUCAUGGGGGCAUCUGACCAUCUUCAAAACUUGGACCCAGAAUUGUUCAUAUCUAAUGAUAUGUAGUGACAAAAGUGGAGCAGAGACUAAAGAAAAUGCCAUCCACUGCCUUGAUCAAUCCAUCCUAUGGGCAGAAAAACAAAACAAAACAAAACAAAACAAAACAAAACAAAACAAAACAAAACAAAACCUUGACACUAUUACUGAAGCCAUGUUGUGCUCAGAAAGAACCUGACAUGACUGUCCUCUGACAGACUCUAUCAGGAGCUUAUUGACACUGUUGCAGAUACGUAGAGUCAACCAUUGAGCUGAAGUCCAGGAGUGUUUUGCUGUUUAAGCCAUAUUUAUACAACCACAACUUAAAGACACGUAAAAUUUUUUAAAAAUGCUAAAAUAUUGCUUGAGAUUCAAUCAAAAUUCAAACAGUCUUUAAGAGAAUAAUAUUUAAAGACAUCAUGGGGAUGCAUAAUCUCCAUAAUCUCCAAUAAUCUUGACUAGGAAAGUGAUACAAUAGAAGAGUUAGAAACCAUGGAUAGAUGUGAAUAAUACAAGCUUUGUUCCAACUACCAGGGAAAUAUAACCAUGAUAAAAAAAAUGAAAAAAAAAAGACAAGUUCAUCCUCUUAGAAAUUACUCUGGAAAUAUCCUUACAAUAAAAAAUAUCAGGACAAGUCAAACAUACAUAGUCAGUAAUUUACCAACACAGUAAAGAAAUGCCCAGUAGAAAUUGAGGGUCAGAGUUCUUAUGAGCAGCAGAGAAAGUCGUCUCAAUCGUGGUACAAUUCCUUUCUGCCCACUAGCCUAGCAAUUCCUUUGACCUGGGAGUUUCCAUGACUUCUUGGUUGCAGUUCCUGCCACUGCUCUAGUGACUGAAAAAGAUUCCUAAGGCCUAAACUGGCAACAGUGCAGAUGAAGGGAAUUUUUCCAUUGUUGUGAGACCCAUGGCAGCGUGCUCUACUCCUAGUUCCACACCUUGCAGCUUGCAGACUCCUGACAAGGAGGGGAUUCUGAUCCCACUCCACUUCCUUCAGGCCCUCAGUUUCUCUUAGGAAUCCUCCUGCUAAAAAAGCAGUUUCAAUCAAGAAAUGAGUCUUCCUACCUACUCCUAAUGUUUCCCAUCCCCAUGUUCUCCCACCAGUUGUCUUGCUGCUAAAGAGAUAUUUUAUUUCCAUGCAAGGUACUGCCCUAGUCCUGCUGGGUUACUAAAAUUGUAGCCACUGGAAGAUCUUCUGGGAAUGUUCAUUAGUCUUCUGUAGUGUGGCUCUAAUUGUGUAUCGUACAAUGCUCAUCCACAAAUAGUGAAUGUUUCCAAAUUUGGUGAGCCUGUUUUCUUGGUCUUCAAACAUGAUAUUAUUAAUUUCCCUAAGCCAAUGACUUUCAUCUUUUUCAAUCUGCACAUGAUGCCUUCCACAUAAUUCCAACAGUGAGUCUACCUGAACCUAUGUUGUACACCCUCACCAUAUUCUUGUUGUACCAUAGACAAGAAGCAGGUGUAUAAAUGUUUAUAGAAUGAAGACAAUCAUAUUGUGUGAGGGGCAAAAGGUAAGUUGUGUAUUUGCUGUGCACAAUUUGGAACUUUUCACUGACACUGGAAAUAUCUGAAGAUUUGGGAUAAUGAUCUCUAAGUCAUCAGGCAGUGGGGCCUAGAAUCAUGCAACAUAAGAAACUGGAAUAUCCAGAGACUGUCCAGGUGGUUGUAAUUUCCUGACUGUUAAGGGCUAUUUCAGAAGCCUAAAUUUAAAUUGCCUGGUGUGUGAGCAUCAGCAUCCAUGAUGCAGCACUUGAUAGAAAAUACUAAUGAUCAUUUGAAAACAAGGGCCUCUAAAGUGUCUAUUAGUAGUUUGAUCCUACUAAGGAAGAGGUCAACAAUUUCCAAUACUAAGAAUAACAUAUUAGUUAUCACUAAGUUUCUCAAAAGUUGAGAAUUUUCCUUAUUUUUUUAAAUCAAGGAAAAAUGUAUAGUGAUAUAGAUUUGUUCAACAAUUUCCACUUCUGAGAAUAACAUAAUGUUAUCACUAAGUUUCUCACAAGUUGAAAUUUGUCCUUAUUUUUUUAUAUCAAGGAAAAUGUGUAAAUAGAUUUGUUCAUUUUAACAUAUGACAUUUUCUUAGAUCCUAAUUUUCUGAGUCUUCCUGAAUUUACUAUAAAUAUUCUAAUAAAAUGCUUUUGCUUGGCAUAA